CUCUUUUUUUGUUGCCAGCUCGGGAGGAGGCAAGAUUCAAUUAAAAGCAGCUCUCGGGGGCCACACUCGCAAGCACCCGCUUUCAGAACCGGGGUUCCCUAUGCCCGUGCCCGGUGACGGCGGGUUGGCAUCUUGGGAGCGAUGCAAGAAGGGCGGUAAGGCUGGCACCGGCCCGCGGACACUGCAGGAGCGUCGCUAGGUGUAGGAGCCGCCACCGGGAAGCUGGGCUGCAGGAUGAGUAAGAGAUACUUACAGAAAGCAACGAAAGGAAAACUUAUAAUAAUAAUAUUUAUUGUAACCUUGUGGGGGAAAGUAGUCCUCAGUGCAAACCAUCAUAAAGCUCACCAUGUUAAAACGGGCACUUGCGAGGUGGUGGCACUCCACAGAUGCUGUAAUAAGAACAAGAUAGAAGAGCGGUCACAAACAGUCAAGUGCUCCUGCUUCCCGGGGCAGGUGGCAGGCACCACGCGGGCUGCUCCAUCUUGUGUGGAUGCUUCAAUAGUGGAACAGAAAUGGUGGUGCCAUAUGCAGCCAUGUCUUGAGGGAGAAGAAUGUAAAGUUCUUCCAGACCGGAAAGGAUGGAGCUGUUCCUCUGGGAAUAAAGUGAAAACAACGAGGGCAAACGUGUAGAACUCUUCAAGUUCGCAUGGAGAAAUAAAAAGAGAAGGUUUCUGCUGUGCCUGAUGAAAAAUUUUUGAUUUUUCCACAUUCAAAAAAAUUUUUGCUCUAUGUUGGAGCAAUUAUGUGGCGAAUACUAGUAUAUUGGUCGGAUUCUAAGGAAGGGACAGAAGUUUCCUUGAGGAAUAAAGAUUCAAAAGAACUCCAGAAAUGAUCUCUCAUCUCGGUUUAUUUCUCACAGAGCAGCAGGUAACCCAUUAACCAAGGAUAUAUCAGGUGUUCUUCAGAGCUGACUAUAUUGAACAUUGCAUAGAAACUUUACUCCUAAUGUGAUCUUGAAGGGGAGAUUUUUAUAGUAUCCAGAAGAUGCACGCCAACUCUUAUUUCCAAGGGAUUUCAUUGCUCAUGAUCAGCAUAUUCCUGAAAUCAAGACUUUAAACAAAUCAUACAUGAAAUUCUGCAUCAUGAAGACUUCAUUAGAUUUGAACUGAGUUCAACUUGUAAAAUUGAAUUAAAGAAUUAAGAAUGCUUAAAGAAUGUGAAGUUACCCUCUGAAGAGCUGGCAAAAAGUUGGUUGUCUGGGUGAUAUCAGACAUACAUUGGAAUUCUUGCUUCAAAUGUGACUGCAUUUUCUUGUUCCUGAGUCUCCCAAGUGCACUGGAUUUCUUUCAUGGACAUAAUCCUGAAUCCUUUGUUCAUUGGCAAAUGGAACUAAACAUGGCUUUAGUGACAUUUACUUUGCAAAAUUCUCUGGCAUGGUGUAAAAUGAGACAAUUUUUAUUUGUAUCCUAAUCUUAGGGCUCUGAAAGCCUACAUGUUUUAACAUCUUAAAGUUGCUUUGUUAAAGGAAUGGACAUAUAUAUCCAUUGAUAGUAAUUAUUGUUGGCAAGUACUACUUAACUGAAUACAUCAAUCAUAGAAUGUAUAGACAAGCGACAUGUUUCCCCAAGCCUAACACAUGACUGGACUGCACUGCUCAGUCAUUAAAUAGGUAGUUUUUAGAACCGAAGUACCAUUUUCAUUAUAGACCACUCUAGAGCCUUUUCAGUUUCUUUCUAAAGAGGAUUUUUUAAAAUAUUUUUUAGUUCACUUUUUCCUUCCACAGAAAUCAGCAGUGACCAGUCAAGUACUAAGGUAGCCUUCAGUUUCAAAAAAUUGCCAGGGAUGCAUGUGGGUUUCUGAUUUCUUAGCUUAACAGUCACUCAUUUCAAUUUCCUCUAGUAAAUUUUUUUAAUUCUUUUUUUGGUCACUUCAAAAUUCUGCCUCUUGCUUGAUCCCAAUGACAGUUUGGAUGCUUCUAUAUUUGUUUAGUCUGUUGAUAGAAUUGUUCAUUUCCUUCGUCCCAAACUUAUAAAUAUUUCCUUACACAGCUGUCCCAUUCAAGCAAUUUUAUUAGGUCAGAUUUUGUCCAUGUUUUCAUAGUAUUUUUAACAUUCGUGGUUUUAGGUUCUUCAGGAAAGUCUUAUAAAUAUUUAAAGGCCUUAAAUAUGUAUGUGUACUUUUUCCUAAUUUAUUGAAGCAGAAUGUAUAAUUUUAUGUUUAUUUUGUUUUAUUAGUGAUGUGAAGGAUGUGAAGGAAGAGAGGAAUGAAAAUUGCAUAGCUAUUCUGUAAUAAUAGUGUGUAAAUGUCUACUUUGAAGGCCUGUAAAGAGAGAGACAUCUGUCUUUUACUCAUCUUAGAGGAAUAGUAAGAUACUUCAGAAUUUGUCCCAUUAGAAAGAAAUUUUAUUAUGUUAAAGAAACUAUGGAUCUCCUGUUUUUAAAACUUCCUACAGUGGAUAAUUAGUAUUUGUUGGUUUUCAUGGUGAAAAAUAAUGUACUUGGAGGACUUCAUAAGUUACAUUUCCCCAAAUCUUUUCUAGGCAGAGCACCAAAAUAUCUGUAAACGUUAUUAACAAUCAAUUGCAAGUAUAAUUUUGACAUUAACGAGGGUAGUGUUUCAUAACUGGGGUGUCAUAUGGACUCUGUUGGUCCCCAAUAUUUCAAGAUGGCCAUAGUAUUCAACAAUACUGUGUUGUACCAUGUCCCCUCUUCCUCAUUUAGAAGUUAGAAUGGGGCAGAGGCUGUCAUAGAAAGAACACAAUGUCAUAAGGCAAGUCAGGUUGGGUAAAUGCUGAGAAACACUGAACUAAACAAUAUUGUUGCACAAGUUCAUGAAUGAAGUUACUUCCUAACUUUUAAUUAUAGAAACAAAAAACAGACGACUGAGUGGAUUUCACAAUGGUUUAAGACUAUAAACUCAUUCAAAGUAGCAUAAUUGUUGUGCUGAAGUUUCUUCAGUAUUUAAAAUGUUAAUUUUGAAACGAAGUAGAAAACUAUUAAUUUGGUAAUUAUAAAUUUGUCCUGGUUUUGUUAAAUAUUAGAGGUCUUAUUUCAUAUUUUAAUAUUAUGUUCUUUAAAACAACAUUGGAAAUUAUGUAUAAUAUAAAAGUGUAUUACAUGCAUAUUAAUAGAAAAAUAAAUGAAAUUUCAAAUAUACUAGAUUAUCCCCAGUAGAUUAAUGUUGUGUUAUUAAAAUUAUUGAAUAAAAUUGGGAUAUAAAAUGGA